rnacentral:rRNA from 1 species
UACAGAGGUCCCAAGCGUUGUUCGGAUUCACUGGGCGUAAAGGGUGCGUAGGUGGCCAGGUAAGUUCGGUGUGAAAGCUCGGAGCUCAACUCCGAAAUGUCAUUGAAUACUAUCUGGCUUUAUUGAGGGUCGGAGGGGAGACUGGAAUUCUCGGUGUAGCAGUGAAAUGCGUAGAUAUCGAGAGGAACACCAGUGGCGAAGGCGAGUCUCUGGACGACACCUGACACUGAGGCACGGAAAGCUAGGGGAGCAAACAGG